UGAUCUUGUUGGUUUUGGCGUGGCUAUAGCAACCGGUGGUCAGUUUGUUCAGAAUUUUCCUGAUAGAACCUUCAAAUCUAUGAUAAUUCCUCUCAUGCAAGAGGAUAAGAGAGCAGGUGAAACAACUCAGAAAGGUUUUUAUCUCUAUGACAAGAACCGCAAGUCUAAGCCAGAUCCGGAGUUGAAGAAGUAUAUUGAAAAAGCUAGGAGCAUGUCUGGCAUUUCUGUAGACCCUAAGCUGGCGAAAUUAUCAGAGAAGGACAUCAUCGAGAUGAUAUUCUUCCCUGUGGUGAAUGAAGCAUGUCGUGUACUUGCCGAAGGUAUAGCCGUCAAAGCAGCAGACUUGGACAUUGCUGGUGUAAUGGGCAUGGGCUUUCCACCUUACAGGGGAGGAGUGAUGUUUUG
rnacentral:misc_RNA from 1 species